rnacentral:rRNA from 1 species
AUGGCGGAGCUAUUGGCCACCAUGGCAAUCGAGCCAUUGGUGUCCAAGCUGUUAGACAAGGCGUCCAGCUACCUCCUGGACCAGUACAAUGUGAUGGAGGGAAUGGAGGAGCAGCACAAGACUCUCAAACGCAAGCUUCCGGCCAUCCUUGACGUCAUCACCGACGCCGAGGAGCAGGCCACGGCACACAGAAAAGGUGCCAAAGCCUGGCUCCAGGAGCUCAAGACGGUGGCCUAUGAGGCAAAUGAAGUCUUUGACGAAUUCAAGUACGAAGCACUCCGUCGUCAAGCCAAGAAGGAUGGGCACUACAGCAAGCUCGGCUUUGAUGUAAUCAAACUCUUCCCUACUCACAAUCGUGUUGUGUUCCGUUACAAAAUGGGUCGCAAGCUUUGCCUGAUUCUGCAGGCCAUUGAGGUCCUCAUAGGAGAGAUGCAUGCCUUUAGGUUUAAGUACCGACCACAGCCGCCAGUGUCCAAGCAGUGGAGGCAGACCAAUCAUUUUAUCAUCGACCCACAAGAAAUUGCGAGCAGAUCUAGACACAAAGAAAAAAAGAAGAUUAUAGAUAUGCUACUUGGUCAAGCUAGCCGCUCAGAUCUCGCAACUAUUUCCAUUGUUGGAAUGGGCGGCGUUGGCAAGACCACAUUAGCUCAGCUCAUAUACAAUGAGCCUGAAAUUCAGAAGCAUUUCCAGUUGCUGCUCUGGGUCUGUGUCUCUGAUACCUUUGAUGUGAACUCCCUGGCCAAGAGUAUUGUUGAAGCAUCUCCCAAGAAAAAUGAUGAUAUAGACAAACAAAAAUCACCACUGGAAAAACUACAGGAAUUGGUCAGAGGGCAGAGGUAUCUCCUUGUAUUGGAUGAUAUCUGGAACAACAAAGAGUUCCAUAAGUGGGAAACACUGAAGGCCUGUCUGCAUGGUGGCAUGGGUAGUGCAGUGUUGGCAACAACUCGUGACAAACGAAUUGCUGAAAUUAUGGAUGCAACACCCUACAAUCUCAAUAUUUUGGAGGAUUGCUUCAUAAAGGAAAUUAUUGAGGCCAGAGCAUUCAGCUCGAAGAAAGAAAAGCCUACUGGACUAGUUGAGAUGGUUGAUGAAAUUGUGAAGAGAUGUUCUGGAUCUCCAUUAGCUGCAACGGCACUGGGCUCUGUACUUCGUACGAAGACCAGCGUGGAUGAAUGGAAGGUUGUAUCAUCCAGAAGCAGCAUUUGCACCGAGGAAACUGGAAUUUUGCCAAUACUGAAGCUUAGCUACAACGACUUGCCAUCAGACAUGAAGCAGUGCUUUGCUUUUUGUGCUGUAUUUCCGAAGGAUUACAAGAUUGAUGUGGAGAAACUGAUCCAACUAUGGAUCGCAAAUGGCUUUAUCCCAGAACACAAGGAAGAUAGUCUUGAAACUGUUGCAAAAUAUAUUUUCAAUGAGCUGGCAUCAAGGUCAUUUUUUGUGGAGAUAGAGGAAACUGUUGCAAAUGGCUUUAUCCCAGAAUUCUUGUCAAAUAAUUAUUCCAGAACAACAUGCAAAAUCCAUGAUCUUAUGCAUGAUAUUGCAUUGUCGGUUAUGGAAAAGGAAUGCAUUGUUACGACUGUGGAACCAAGUCAAAUCAAGUUGCUUCCAGAUACUGGUAGGCAUUUGUUCCUGUCUUGUGAAGAAACAGCAGAUAUUUUGAAUGAUUCUAUGGAGAAAAGAUCCCCUGCUAUCCAAACCCUGUUGUGUGGUAGCUCUCUGCGAAGCUCAUUGCAACAUCUAUCAAAGUACAGAUCUUUGCAUGCCUUGAAGCUCACUAUUAAGACAAAAUCAUUUCCACUGAAACCAAAGUAUCUGCAUCACUUGAGGUACCUUGAUCUCUCAUACAGUAACAUUAAAGCACUUCCUGAAGAUAUAAGUAUUCUAUAUAACCUGCAAACGCUGGACCUUUCCUACUGCCCUUACCUUGAUCGACUUCCAAUGCAAAUGAAGUAUAUGACCUCUCUCCGUCACCUCUACACUCAUGGAUGUUUGAAGUUGAAGACCAUGCCUCCAGAACUAGGAAAACUCACUAACCUGCAGACGAUUACAUGUUUUGUAGCAGCAGUUACUGGCCCUCACUGCAGUGAUAUUGCAGAGUUGCAGGACUUAAACCUUGGUGGUCAGCUGGAGCUAUGUCAGAUAGAGAAUAUUGAUACAAAAGCAGAAGCGAAAUUGGCAAAUCUCGGUAAAAAGAAGGAUCUCAGACAACUGACAUUAAAAUGGACUUCUGUUUGUGACACUGAGGUGCUCAACAAUUUCGAACCUCAUGGUGAGCUACAGGUUCUGAAGAUAUAUUCCUACGGAGGAGAGUGUAUGGGUAUGUUGCAAAACAUGGUUGAGAUACAUCUUUCUCAUUGUGAAAGAUUGCGAUUUUUAUUUAGAUGCAGUACAAUCUUAACUUUUCCAAGACUGAAGGUGCUUACGCUAGAACAUUUGUUGGGUUUUGAGAGAUGGUGGAAAAUAGAUGAGAGGCAAGAAGAACUUACAAUAUUUCCUGUGCUUGAGAAGUUAUGUAUUAGUAAUUGUGAAAAGUUGGUAGCAUUACCUGAAGCACCAUUGCUGCAAGGAUCUUGUGGUAAAGGUGAUUAUACAUUGGUACACUCAGCGUUUCCUGCCCUAAAGGUACUCGAAAUGAAAGACCUGGAGAGCUUUCACAGUUGGGAUGCAGUCGAAGAGACUCAAGGUGAACAGAUAUUGUUUCCUCAGCUUGAGAAACUAUCAAUUCAGGAAUGUCCAAAGUUGAUAAAUUUACCUGAAGCACCAUUGCUUCAAGAACCAUGUAGCAGAGGUGGUUAUAGAUUGGUACGCACAGCAUUUCCUGUCCUAAAGGUGCUCAAAGUGAAAGGCUUAGAGAGCUUUCAGAGAUGGGAUGCUGGUGCAAAAGGAGAACAGAUAUUGUUUCCUCAGCUUGAGAAACUAUCAAUUCAGAAGUGCCCAAAGAUAAUAGAUUUUCCCGAAGCACCAAAACUCAGUGUAUUAGAAAUUGAAGAUGGUAGGCAAGAGGUCUUCCAUUUCAUAGACAAAUUUUUUUCUUCACUGACCGAUCUGAUACUGAAGCUAGAAGACACAGAAACAACAUCAGAGACAGAGCGCACUUCAAUUGUAGCAGUGGACAACAAGGAGAAAUGGAACCAUAAAUCCCCUCUUACAGUUAUGGAGUUAGGAUGCUGCAACUUAUUCUUUGGAUCAGGUGCACUAGAGCAGUGGGACUAUUUUGUACACCUUGAAGGUUUGGAAAUUGGUAGAUGUGAUGUGCUUGUCCACUGGCCAGAGAAAGUGUUCCAAAGCUUGGUAUCCUUGAGAAGAUUAAAGAUUGUAAACUGCAAAAAUCUGACUGGAUAUGCACAAGCUCCUCUUGAGCCAUCAGCAUCCAGUAGGAGCCAAUGCCUGCCAGGUCUGGAGUCUCUUGAGUUAAGUUAUUGUGCAAGUUUGGUAGAGAUGUUCAACGUCCCAGCAUCUCUCAAGAGCAUGUAUAUUGAUGGGUGCAUUAAGCUCGAGUCCAUCUAUGGCAAGCAGCAGGGCAAGCCAGAGUUCGUUGAAGGCUCUUCUUGUAGUGAGGCAAUCAUGCCUGCAGGUGUGUCAGAGUUAUCAUCAUCAUCACUCAUGAAUCACUUCUGUUCAUGCCUAGAAGAGCUAAGUAUAUCUGGAUGUGGAAGCUUACCAGCGGUUCUAAAUCUUCCAAAGUCCUUAAAGACCAUAAUUAUUGCUCACUGCAGUAGUAUUCGAGGCCUAUCUUAUCAGAUGGGUGGGCUCCAGAGACCCGAAGUCACUACCUCCAUAAAUGUACCAGAGCCGUCAGCAGCAGUAGCAACGAGGCAUUCGCUUCCUCCUUAUCUUGAAUCUCUAGAAGUAUUGUUCUGUGCUGGCAUGUUGGGGGGGAUUCUCCAUCUGCCCACGUCCCUUAAGAGACUGACCAUUAUUGACAACGCUGGGCUGACAUCGCUUGAGUCAAUGCCGGGAGAGCACACCCCAUCCUUUGAAUCCCUUCAUCUUCUUGGCUGUCGUACCCUGGCAUCCCUACCAAAUGAGUCACAGGCAUACGAGUCUCUCAAAAAGCUUAUUAUUAAGAUCUGUCCUGCUAUAAAGAAGCUGCCUCGAUGCCUGCAGCAGCAGCUGGGUAGCAUUGACAACAAACGACUAGAUGCCCAUUAUGAAGUAACGGAAUUUAAACCAUUUAAGCCGAAGACAUGGGAGGAAAUACCAAGAAUAGUUCGCGAGUGGAGGUUAUUCAGCCUUUUUCCCGGCGAGAACCUCGAAAGACCAGGAAGCUUCUUUCAAUUCAUACAGGAGAAUAAUGUUGCCCAGUUAAGCAAGGAAAACAGGAUGACAACCACGUAG